rnacentral:rRNA from 1 species
UACGGGGGGGGUAAGCGUUGUUCGGAAUUACUGGGCGUAAAGGGCUCGUAGGCGGCCAACUAAGUCAGACGUGAAAUCCCUCAGCUUAACUGGGGAACUGCGUCUGAUACUGGAUGGCUUGGAUUUGGGAGAGGGAUGCGGAAUUCCAGGUGUAGCGGUGAAAUGCGCAGAUAUCAGGAGGAACACCGGUGGCGAAGGCGGGUCUCUGGGCCGAUACUGACGCUGAGGAGCGAAAGCGUGGGGAGCGAACAGG